rnacentral:lncRNA from 1 species
GGGGAGGUUGUUGACAACACAAAUGUUGACAAAUUGGCAAGUGUACCAAAUUGUACAAGUAAUAUAAAUGGUAAGACCAAGUAUCGUUUUCCCAAGAGACUCGUAUGGCUUCCUCGUUUGUGUGAAUUAAAAUAAUAAUACUUGAGAAAUAAAAAUUAAUAAAUUGGAUUUGAGAAUAAAAAGUUAACAUGCAAAAUAAAGUCGAUUCAAUUGACAAACAAAAACAAUGGAUGAAUGGAUGAUGUUGGGUACUAACAAUUUCAUCUAUUNCACUCUCUCUUACAUACUACCCUUGAAUAUUAGUUGAUUGAUUCAAUUGUUAUGCGACUUUCUUAGCCUCCCCUUAACCCGAUCCCUCGGCGAAAAGGGCCUAAUAUUAACUAUCGGCUUGCUAUCCCUAGCCUCCUCUAGUAAUUAAUACCACAUUAUAAACAGAAGUUAGCGCAAUUGAUCAUGCUACCCCUAUCCCUAGGUGGUAUUGCAAAAUCAAGAGAUUACUCACNNNNNNNNNNNNNNNNNNNNNNNNNNNNNNNNNNNNNNNNNNNNNNNNNNNNNNNNNNNNNNNNNNNNNNNNNNNNNNNNNNNNNNNNNNNNNNNNNNNNNNNNNNNNNNNNNNNNNNNNAUCAAAAGAUUACAUUGUUUUCCCCAACAACAAUAGUGUUUAGUUCACCAUAGACAUGGUGAAACUAGAUGAAAAAUGGAAGAAGAAUGGAAGAGCAAACCCUAGAAAAGGAGAAAAGGCGCCUAAGCAUCCAAGAGAUCCUCUCCAGAGAGCAAAAUUAGGUCUGGUCGUUCUCCCCUGUCAAAAGAAUGAUUCUGACUUCGCAAUAGGGGUAUAUAUAGGUGAAGAGCGCGUCAAAAAUUGGGCCCAAGUCCAGCGAGCCACCGCCGGGCGGUUUAAGUGUGUCGCCCGGCGGUUUGCCACAAAUCGCCCUACCGCCCGGCGGCAAUCGCCACCGUCGGGCGGUUUCCCUUAGGUCCGCCCCGCGUCAAUCGCCAUGCCUUCUCCUCGUCCUGGACCGCCCGGCAGUUUAAGUGUGCCGUCGGGCGGUGCGUCGACUCUUCGAAUCUUCAUUUUUCUGCUCUUUUCUUGAGUCAACGACUUGUAUCUUCAACUUCAUUCUCUACUUUUUCUCCAAUUAGCUUCAAAACAAUGCAAAACAAGCAUAAAAUUGCUAAAAACAGCUUUUGACUCUCUUCAGACUCAUUUAUUGAGUUUUGCUUGAUUCUAAGCUCAUUCCGAGUAGUAAAGGGUGUAAUUUGGUCCAAAUUGACAUAUGAAAAUAACUGUUUUUCAACCUUCAUCAACACCCCAAACUUAGAAUUUUGCUUGUCCUCAAGCAAAACAAAACAACACACAAAACAACUCAAUUCAAUAUUGUUUCAUCCAAUGCCUCAACAAUCCCAAGGUACAUGACAAAACCACUCAAUUCAAUAUCCUUAGUGAAAUUCAAAAUAAGAUGCAUGCAUGCUUUCAACCCAGAGAUUGCACAAUAGAUGUUAGACACUAUGAAUGAUCAAUCCACUAAGCAAAAAUGUACUCAUGAAAAUUAACAAAUUAUACCAAGCAAGUGUUUCACUCAAUCACUCAAGUGUUUAAGGUGACAUUCCAACUCUCAAUUAUUCACAAGUCGCAUGAAACAAAAUUGCCAUUCAUCUCAAACAAUCAACAUCUUUACAUGCAAAUGCCAUCAAAAGGACUUUUCCAAGGCUUGUAAUAAGGUUGGGCAAACAAGAAAGCAUUGGUUUUUCUAGAAUGCAAAAUCCUUGUGUCAAGAGAGCUAACAAAAUAUUCAACAUUUAAGCACAACUCUCUCACCAAUAUCUCUCAUUCCCAACUUCUUCCCUUUUCUUUUCUUUUUCAUUGAGCUCGUCUUCAUGCUUUUCUUCUUUUCUUUUCUUUUUCUCAUGAAUUUUUCUCUUUUCACAACAAUUGAGCUCAAUGCCUUUUUCUUGCUUUUUCAAUUUUCCCCCGUACAACCCCAAACUUCAACCUUUUCAUUGCAUACGAUUAAGUUCAUCCCAACUCAAGGUAAAGAUUUACAAGACAAGGAUUCACAUACUGUUUAAGGCUAAGGUUCAAAAAGGGUAAAAUAUUUUCAAGCACUUUGGGUGAAAAUUUGGCUAGAGAAGGGUUUUCAAAAAUGGCCUUGAUCAUAUGUCAAUUGAUUAUCAAGAUUAAGGCAAUAUCAUCCAUGUUUUCCUGUGAACAAUACAUACAACAAUAAAAACUCUGGAGCUCAAAAUCUCACACACAUGCUUUCUCACACAAAAUUCAUUCAUACACUUUGCCUAGCAUCAUGACCACAAUCAUAAUUCAUCACACAUCUAUUUCACAGCAUAUUAACAUGCAUUGUAACUCAAUUCUCAUCCACAUCAAAUAAUCAUCAAAUAGCUCCAUCAUGCAUAUCGGUCAGUCAAACAUUUUCAGAACAAGAAUUAAAGCCAAGAGUACACACCAAAUUUCAAAUUCAACCUAUUCUAGGAAUUUAAAAUGCAAAAGUGUAAGAAGAAAUCUAGGUUGCCUCCUAGUCAGUAAGUGCAAUACCUCCCAUCACCCAUCAGUAGGUGUGCCUUCUUGGAAUCCUUUAGUGGAUUCAAAAAUUUUCUAGCAUCCCUCAGUAGAUGCUAUCAUUACCGCCAUCAGAAGCAGUGCAUAACCCAAAAAUAAAAUAAAAUAAAAUAAAAAAUAAAAAUAAAAUAAAAUAAAAUAAAAUAAAGUGACAUAAAAUAAAAUCAAAUCAAAUAAGAUAAAAUCAAAUAAAAUAAAAUCAAAUCAAAUAAAAUCAAAUCAAAUCAAAUCAAAUGAAAUAAAAUAAAAUCAAAUAAAAUAUAAUCAAAUCACAUCAAAUAAAAUAAAAUCAAAUUAAAUCAAAUAAAAUCAAAUAAAAUAAAAUCAAAUAAAAUAAAAUCAAACACCCAUCAGUAGGGGUUGAUACUCCUCUUUCUUGAUAUUCUUUUCUUUUUCUUCUUCCUGCUGAAUUUCUUCAUAAAAUUAAGAACACCAAGCACCUGUUUCCAUGUUUCAAUCAUAGGAACUUUAAUCUCCANUUUCUUGAAGAUCUCCAUAAAGCUCAAAAAUUUAUUUUCCUUCCUAUGAUAUUUCUUUUUAUGAGGCAGGGGUUUUUCACAAGAUCUUUUCUUUUUACCUCUCUUCCUUUUCUUCUCUUUCCUCAACUUUCCUAUUUUCUCUUUUCUUUUUUUUUUCUUUUUUUUUGAAUAUUUUUUCUUUUUUUCUUUUUUCUUAACCACUGUUUUUUCUCCCUCAUCAUCUUUAUCUUCCUCAACCAACUCUUCUGUUUCUUCUUCUUUUAAAUCUCUCUCUAUCUCUUCUUCCUCUAUCUUUUCUUCCUUGACAACCUUAUCAUUUUUAGAGAUGGUGGCUUGAUAUUCUUCUUCAGGAUUAACUUCAGUGUUAUCCCUAAUAAUACCCAAAGCCUUCAGGGCAUGAGAGUGUUGUUCCUGCAAUAAACGUGCUUGUGCUUUUCCCAAUGUUUCUUUGUGUACAUGAGAUUGUUUUUGUUGUAAACAUUGUUGGGCUUCCCCCAACGUUUCUUUUGGUCCAAAGACUACGUACUGCCGCAAGAAUUUUUGGAUUUCCCCCAACGUUUCUUCUGGUACAGAGAAUAAUUCCUGCUGUAAACGUUCUUUGGCUUCUCCUAAUGUUUCUUUUCGUGAGGAGGACUGAUCCCCUAAGUGGUUCCGAUAUAUAUUUGAAUAAAGAUCCCCACAGUGGUUACAAUCAUUUUGGUAGAAUUGAGUGCCCAUAUUAUCAAGUUCUUCUUUAAACUGCAUUCUGCAAACGUUAGGCACAAAACCCUAGAAAACAUUUAUUAGAAAAAAAAUAAAAAAUAAACAUAAAAUCAAGUCAAAUUCAAUCAAUCCACACUAUUAGAAAAAUAAACCUCGAGUCCCCGACAACGGCGCCAAAAACUUGUUGACAAAUUGGCAAGUGUACCAAAUCGUUCAAGUAAUAUAAAUGGUAAGACCAAGUAUCGUUUUCCCAAGAGACUCGUAUGGCUUCCUCGUUCGCUUGAAUUAAAAUAAUAAAACUUGAGAAAUAAAAAUUAAUAAAUUGGAUUUUUGAACAAAAAUAUUAACAUGCAAAAUAAAGAUGAUUCAAUUGACAAACGAAAACAAUGGAUGAAUGGAUGUUGUUGGGUACUAACAAUUUCAUCUAUUCCAGUCUCUCUUACAUACUACCCUUGAAUAUUAGUUGAUUGAUUCAAUUGUUAUGCGACUUUCUUAGCCUCCCCUUAACCCGACCCCUCGGCGAAAAGGGCCUAAUAUUAACUACCGGCUUGCUAUCCCUAGCCUCCCCUAGUAAUUAAUACCGCAUUAUAAACAGAAGUUAGCGCAAAUGAUCGUCCUACCCCUAUCCCUAGGUGGUAUUGCACAAUCAAGAGAUUACUCACUAAUUCAUGUCAUUACUAUACGUCCCCAUAUCAAUAAAGACAAACAUCAAUAUAC